UUAACAGGCCAAGCUGUUGUGCCAUUGGACAAAAGAUUCAGCUAUGUUAACAGUGGGCCGCUAGGCGAGUUCAGCGUUGAAUUCGGUGACUACCGUCCUUCAAACAUUGCCACCUUUCCGUUCAUGCUUUGUUUUCAAAACGCCACUCCUGACGCCUUCACUUUAAGUCUCCGAAUGGGCAACCGUCACGACGAGUCGAAGAUGCUUUGGGUCUGGACCGCCAAUCGGGGAAAGCCGGUUCAUGAGAAUGCCACACUUGCAUUCGGUGCUGAUGGGAACCUUGUUUUGACGGACGCUGAUGGCUCAAUUGCGUGGCAAACAGGUUCGGCAAAUAAGGGUGUGGUAGGUUGGGAGUUACUUGACAUUGGUAAUCUUGUCUUGUAUGAUGCAAAGGGUGCCUAUAUUUGGCAAAGUUUCGAUCAUCCAAGUGAUACACUUUUGAUAGGCCAAGGACUCCAUCUUAAUGGAGCCACAAAGUUGGUUAGUAGAUUGUCCUAUACGGAGGAUGCUGAUGGUCCUUACACCCUCGUAAUGGAGCAAAGGCAUUUGGCCAUGUAUUACAAGAGCCAAAACGCAGCAAAUCCAUUACUAUACUACAAGUAUGACGAAUUUGGAGAUGGCAAGGGCGUUUUAGCAGAUGCAGUCUUUGAUGUCAACGGUGACGCUUUCUACACAAACGAACUCUUUCUUUUAUACGACAUGAAAAAUUCCCCCGCCUCUGGAACUAGAUUAUUGGCUAGGCCAAAGUACAAUUCUACUUAUUCGAUGCUUCGUCUUGAUAUAGACGGAAAUUUCAGAAUAUACACCUACUACCCGAUUGUUGAUUGGGGUGCAUGGGAAGUUACAUAUAAAGUUCUAAAUAGCGAAGAUGAUGUGGAGAGUACUAGCGAAUGCAGAUUGCCAAAAAGGUGUGGAGCUUUAGGGGUCUGCGAAGACAAUCAGUGUGUGGCUUGUCCAACAGCUGCGGGUCUGCUCGGGUGGAGCAAGAGUUGUGCGCCUCCAGUGUUACCACCGUGCAAAGGAUCAAGAGCAAAUGUGGACUACUACAAAGUGGUGGGUGUGGAACAUUUCUUGAAUGGAUAUACGGAAGGAGGGCGUAUGAAAAUCGGUGACUGCAGAGAAAAAUGCAACAAAGAUUGCAAAUGCUCAGGCUUUUUCUACAGGGAAGAGUCUUCAAAAUGCCUGUUGGUUCCGGAACUUGGUACUUUGAUCAAGGUGUCCAAUCCUUCUCAUGUUGGUUAUAUCAAGAUGUCUAAAUAGUUCUUGUACACAUUUUUAUACCAGUGUCCUUGCGUGUAAAUAAAUAAAUUGGAUGAGUGGAUUAAGGCGUGAAUUGUAAUAUGUGGUUAAUUUAGUAAUACAUUUCUAUAAUUUUUCAUUCUAAAAUGAUAUUGUACUGCUCAUCAGCAGGUUGAUUUAGUAAUAUAUUUUCAUAAUUUCUCAUCUUAAAUAUUAAUGCAUUUAACAUGGCUUGAGUUAAAAUUAAAGGACCCAAUAUAUUAUCUUAUAUACUGUAAACUUUUUUCUUUUUCCAGUUUGUAUCAUUUAUGUAAUAAAUUUAUAAGCUAAGACUUGUGCAACUACAAGAAAAGCAGCUUAUUUCGACCACCCGAAUCCGGUCGAAAAUAGCUAUUUUUGAUCAUAAACGGUCGAAACUAAUUAACUAUUUUCGAACGCAAAAAACCGGCCACAUAUAACCUAGUCGAAAUUAGGAUCCCGGUCGAAAAUAACUAUUUUCGACCGCGUUUCGACAUUCGACCAAAUACGGUCGAACAAAUCCUGACGACAAUUUGACUUUGAAAAUUUUGAAAAUUUGGAAUCCCGCUCAAAUUUUGAAAUUACGGUCGAAUUUAUAAUUUCGACCGCUGUUUAAAACUCCUGCCAAUUUCUUGCCGGAAUUUUGUGGUCGAAAUUAAUUGAUCAUUUAAUUUUUCCGGUCGAAUUUAUUUUGCAAUUAUAAAAAUAAUUCAAUUUGUGCAUACCUAGUUUGUGCAUACCUCUGCCUACCUGUACAAAUCCAAGAAUUGAAAUAUCCAACAAACAAUUAUUUUAAACCAAAUUCUACAUCUAAACCCCUUAGACAUAAAAUAAAGACUUAAGAGGCACACUGCCUUUGCAAUCUAAAUACAAGUUAUAUGUUACUUGUUAUUGACAAUAUAUAUAUAAGUGAUAUUUCCAUCACUGGCAUCAACCAAAACAUAAGUUAAAUAUUCGUCAAAUUCCAGGAAACUACCUCAUUCACAGCUGCCUAUACUAAGAUAAAAGGUAUUAUAAAUAAGCAUUAACAUCAAACUCCCCUUCGUCUUCGAACCCAGUAACCUCUAGCAUUGAAAUCUCCUUCCCCUUCUCUACUGGCUCUAGCUGACUAGGUUCCUACUCCUUCCCCACCGGCUCUAGCUGACUAGACUGUUAAAAGAACAUAAAUUAGUUAAAACAUAGAAUACAUGUUAAAACUGAUUAGUUAAAGAAAAUAAGCCAAUAGUAGUUAAAACACAAAAUAGAUAUAAGCCGAGCAGCUAACUAAUCUCGCAGCAAAAUACAAAAUACAUAUAAGUCAAGUAGCUAUCUAAUCUCACGGCAAAUAUAUAACCACUGCUCAAAUAGACAAAUACAAAAUGUAAUUAACUAAUCGAGCUCUAGUUCUAGUUAUAUUAUCAUCAUAAUGUUAAUUUAAUAAUAUUAAACUAGAUUCAUCUCACAGACACACACAUUGUUUCACACAAUCAAUGCAUAAGCAGAGUAGUUAAAUAGCUGCUUUUCUUCUGGUCUACACCUUUUGUAUUGACUAAACGAAGAGUUUAAGAACAUCUGAUAAUGCCCAUCAUUUCUUCAAAAGAGGAUCUAAAACAUAAACAAUAACAUGUAUUUUGAUUAAUAUACAUUAAUUUAACUUGUUUGUUUGAUUAAUUAAUCAAUUUAUUAGAAAAAGCUUAUUUAAACAAAUCUAAAUCAACCUAGCCUAUUCUCAACUGUACAUGGCCCAUUUGGUUUAACUUUUAGUGUUUAUUGCUUAUUAGUAAAAAGUUAUAUAUAGGUGAAAGGUAUACAACUAAUUAACUAGAUGCCACUGCUAAUCCACACUGACUGAGUAAAAUCAUCAUAUACUAAUCCUGGGACUGGCUCAAAUAGACAAAUAAAAAAUGUAAUUAACUAAUCCAACUCUAGUCCUAGUUAUAUUAUCUUCAUAAUGUGAAUUUAACAAUAUUAAACUAGAUUCAUCUCACAAACAAACACACACACACUGUUUCACACCUUCAAUGCGUAAGAAGAGUAGUUAAUCUCAUAUUUAUUAUGUAAGAUGAGGAACGAACAGCAGGUGAACAAGUUGGACAAUAGAGCAAGAAACUUAAUCUUAUAUUUAUUAUAUUUACUAAUGUACUCAAGUUCACUUGAUGAAAUGAUAUAUGUUGUACAUAUAUUAAAAGAUAUAGUUAAUUAAUAAAAAUGUCAAUGCACAAGCAUGAAGAAUUAUUUACAUAUUGAAAAGAAGUACUAGUGCAGAAAGAAAGACAAGGAUAUGGAAAGCUAGGUUUAUUGUCGCUAAGCUGGGGCACAUACCUCCAUAAUGAUUUGUAAUAUUUUAUUAUUAAUUUCGACCACAUGUUUUCGACCGGAUCUAUUUUCGACCGAAAACGGUCGAAAAUAGGUUUCGGUCGAGAAAAGCGGUCGAAAUAAGUCGCUUUUUCAAGAUGAUUUUGAAUUCAUCAAUAAUUAAUUGAAUAGAAAAUUAGUUAAUUCAUCAAUAAUUAAUUGAAUAGUAAAUUAGUUAAUUAGGAACGUAAUAAGAUGAUUUUCAAGAAUCAUUAUCACUUAUAUAACCUAACUCGUGAAGAUUGUAAGUUAACAGGCCUGAUAUUCACAAUAUACACACGCUUGUUUGCUUUGAAACUGGAAGGAAAAACUGAUAUGAUAUAAUUGCUAUUUCUCUUACUGAUAACACAUUACAUGCAAAGAAACUUUAAUAGUAACCUAUAAUAGAACUAACUCCUACAAAUUAACACUCACAUAGAACUGCUCCAUACCUCCUAACUGCACCAUGAGUCUCCUAAAAUACCUGAACGUGGCAACAUGCGUCUUUUUCAAAACAAAACAAUAACAAAAUAUAACUUUAAAAUAAACAAGUUUAGAUUAAUUUUUCAAUGAAGAUAAAACUUGACCUCCCAGAAAAUCUAAACUUAAUCAAAGACUUACUCUGGGUAGCACUGUAAAUACACCUUAUCACUCAUCCCAAAAUUACGUCUUAUUGAUUCUCAACAUAAGUUUGAGAUACAUAGAAAUCUCGCAUAAAGGCACGAUCUUAGCCUAAUUGACAAAAAUAGUUCUAAAUGAAUUAAUUGCUCCCUAAUUCUUCUGCUAUUAAAAUUAGCACUGUUUGUGAGAAUUCGAUCAAAAUCAUGAUUGAUACACGGAGUCCAAAUCAUUUUGAAGAUUUGAACUUACCCUCCAUUCAAAAGAAAAAUGAAGAGAAGCAAUACUUCGAAGAUCAUAGCCUUUGCCCCAAGCUUUUCAAAUUGGAUAUAUGACCGGACAUCAUACUUUUCCACUUACCACCUCGGUAAUACCCUAUACCUAUCAUUGUUUUUGAUAGCACAGUCAUUGUGCAUAAAUUCUUUAAAAGUGAAAUAUAAAAACAAAUAUCAUUUUUGUUUAAAUAUAUGUUAUUAUUUUUAAAUAUGUUUGAGUGUAAUUUCUGAUGCAUUUUAAUAUAGACACUAUAAUUUAAGAGUAUCGCCAAAAAAUUAAAAAUAUGAAUCAUAACAAAUAGGGAAAAUAGAUUUUUUUGCCACUCAACUUAUAGCGUUUUUAGAAACUUACCACCCAACUAAUUUAUUUUUUCUUUUAGUCACUAAUGUUAGGUUUGGUUUUAUUUUUACCCACCAACUUAGGUUCGGAUUUGAUUACUAGCAUUAUGAUAAUUUUUUGUAGCAUCAUUUAUACAUAGUGAUAGUAUGUAAUAUUUUGAUGAUGUGUCGUAUGUUUAUAUCUUUAUAUAUAACAAUAAUUAUAUAAAAUGAGCCGAUAAAAAUUAAAAUCGGGAAAAAUCGUAAUUAGAUUCUAAAUAUUCAAUAAAUCAUGAAUAUGAAAUUAAUUACUUCAAACAAUUCACCUCCUCUCAUAAGAUAAAGUGUAAUUGAGUGAUAUGACACAUCAUCUUUCGCUAUUAAAGUUUCAAUCGACUAGCUCAGUCUAAGAUCUCUUUUAAAUUUAUCUUCAAAAAUUUUAAUAACUUUCUUUUAUUACAAUUUUCAAGAUAAAUAAAUAGAGAGGAAAACUUAAUUUUAUAUUAUUAUUAUUCCCUCCAUCCCUCUCAUUACUUUACAGUUUUUUCUGCUGCUUAGCACGUAUUUAAGACUCUUAUAAAACAUAGUUCCAUAACUUAUUUUUGUGACGUUUGAAUUUUCAUUCGGAAGAAAAAAUAAAGUUAUAUUUGAAACAACAUCUUUUAAAGGCCAUAAAAUGCGUGUAAAAUUCUUAUCAUCCAAGGUAAACGACCUUGGAGACAUAAAAAGUACUAUAUAUAAAUAUACAAACAUAUAUCAAAUCAUCAAAAUAUUACAGACUACCACUAUAUUUUAAUAAUGCUACACAUAAUAUGUCAUGCUAAUAAUUAAAUCCGAACCUAACUUCAAUGAUAAAAAAAGCUGAAUCCUAGUGAGUAAAAUAAAAAAAAUUAUAGUUGAGUGGUAGGUUUCUAAAGACGCAAAGUUUAGUGACAAAAAACAUUAUCAUAAUACUAGUAAUCAGAUCCGAACCUAAGUUGGUGGCUAAAAAAAAACCAAACCUAACAUUAGUGACUAAAAGAAAAAAUAAAUUAGUUGGGUGAGAAGUUUCUAAAAACGCUAUAAGUUGAGUGGCGAAAAAAUCUAUUUUCCCUAACAAAUAUGAUAAUUAAAUAAAAAUAAAGAGUAUUACAUAAAAUUCAAAUAUUAUUAAUUGAAAAGUGCUAAAAUAUAAGAGUAUCCAAUUGAGAGCCUAUAGCGAUAUACUCCAUGAUUUUUGAAAAGCACCGAAACAUUGAAUAAUACGAGAACACUGUUCUCAUGGAUGUCCCCACCUAUAAUUAUUUUCUUUUCUAAAGAUUCAUCCCAUAAAGAUACAAGUAUUCCUCCACUUCCAUCAUAUAGCUUAAAUCUAGCUCGACAUUUCAUAGGUAAGGUUUCGAUUGGAUAAUCCUGUAAAUUUCCAACAAACCCCUUCACAAAACGUACACGAUGUUUAAUUUGUUUCCCCGCAGGUUCAAGUUUACCAAUUUCGGAUAUCCACUCACAAUUUUUACUUUCAUGAUCCUAAGGUCUUGCAUCACUCAUUGGUGUAUUAUAAAUUCUUGCCUUCAAUUCUGCUUCUUCACUAGAUAGUUGAGAACUUUUAUAUCAGUGACUUGAAAUCACUGAUGUCGUAUUUAUGAUUUUUGAUAAGGUUGUUGGAAAAUUCAUUGACGUUGUUGAUGCUGUUGGUACGUUGCUGGUUGAGGUAAAUUAAAUGUACCAUUAGUAUUCUCAUGUCACUAAAGGUGUGAGGGACAGUACUGUGAUUUUAGCUUUUAGACAAAACUGAGUACUUGCCGUCACUAUUCAGUGACUUGAAAUCAAAGUAGUUAUUUAAUAUAUUCUUAAUUCUUAAUUAACUGUCCGGUACUGGUGUACUUCAUUUAAUGCACAUUAUCAGUAACUUCAAGUCACGGAAUGUGUGCACAUACUGUGAUUUCAUGUGUAAUUAGACUAUCCAACUGUGUACGUGGUACCGGCCUCAUCUAUAAUAGUAUCAUUAUAUAAAUAAAGUAUUCGUUGGUUAAUGCAGGAAAGAUAAUUCACCAUUAUGUUGAAGUAAAACCAACGACCUAUGUAAGUGGUUAAUUGAAUUCGAUAAUCUUUAUUAAGCGUGUCUUUCAUUUUUAAUAAUUUUAAGUCUGUCCGAUGCCAACGGCGCUGCGGUCUUAAAAACUCAACCUUCACACACCGAAUGAAAAAAACCAUCUCAGAAGAACAUCACAUAUACAUAUAUUACCGGCAAAUAUAUGUGCUGUAUUAGGAAAGACGUACACUGAUUUUUUCGAAGUCAAAAUUUGUGUAUUCAAAAACCAGGAAACAUUGUACAAGAAUUACGGCAACCACACUGCCACGCUAUUAUAAAUCCUGAACUCUCUUUAUACACUUUAUUGCCAUCAUCAAAACAAAAUAAACAGCUUCUAGUUCACAAUGUAUUCUUCUUAUUCACCAUCUGUUUUUCUAAUUACCAUCUUCCUCGCUACAAUAUUAACAGGCCAAGCUGUUGUGCCAUUGGACAAAAGAUUCAGCUAUGUUAACAGUGGGCCGCUAGGCGAGUACAGUGUUGAAUACGGUGACUACCGUCCUUUAGAGAUUUCCACCUUCCCAUUCAUGCUUUGUUUUCAAAACGCCACUCCUGAUGCCUUUUCUUUAAGUCUCCGAAUGGGCAGCCGUCGCUCUGAGUCGAUCAUGCUUUGGGU
rnacentral:lncRNA from 1 species